rnacentral:rRNA from 1 species
GAUGAACGCUAGCGGCAGGCCUAAUACAUGCAAGUCGGACGGGAUUGAGGAGCUUGCUUUUCAUGAGAGUGGCGCACGGGUGCGUAACACGUAUGUAACCUACCUUGUUCAGGGGGAUAGCCUCUCGAAAGAGAGAUUAAGACCGCAUAAAAUCACAUUACAGCAUUGUAAAAUGAUCAAAUAUUUAUAGGAACAAGAUGGGCAUGCGGAACAUUAGCUAGUUGGUAAGGUAACGGCUUACCAAGGCUACGAUGUUUAGGGGAUCUGAGAGGAUGACCCCCCACACUGGUACUGAGACACGGACCAGACUCCUACGGGAGGCAGCAGUAAGGAAUAUUGGUCAAUGGGCGGAAGCCUGAACCAGCCAUGCCGCGUGCAGGAAGACGGCCCUAUGGGUUGUAAACUGCUUUUACAGGGGAAUAAACCUCGUUACGUGUAACGAGCUGAAUGUACUCUGAGAAUAAGGAUCGGCUAACUCCGUGCCAGCAGCCGCGGUAAUACGGAGGAUCCAAGCGUUAUCCGGAUUUAUUGGGUUUAAAGGGUGCGUAGGUGGCCUGUUAAGUCAGGGGUGAAAGACGGUAGCUCAACUAUCGCAGUGCCCUUGAUACUGACGGGCUUGAAUAAACUAGAGGUAGGCGGAAUGUGACAAGUAGCGGUGAAAUGCAUAGAUAUGUCACAGAACACCAAUUGCGAAGGCAGCUUACUAUGGUUUUAUUGACACUGAGGCACGAAAGCGUGGGGAUCAAACAGGAUUAGAUACCCUGGUAGUCCACGCCCUAAACGAUGAAUACUCGAUGUUGGCGAUAUACGGUCAGCGUCUAAGCGAAAGCGUUAAGUAUUCCACCUGGGGAGUACGCCCGCAAGGGUG